GCCAGGACAGACAGGCUCGUUUCAUUCAGCAUUGACUUUCACAAACAAGGGAAAGGAGGCCGACGAGGAGAUGUCCAAAGUCACAGUGUUGUGCCGUGACCGACAGGGGAGGGCCCAUUGGUCGCCAGACAGGAGCAGAAACCACUGGAAGAACGCAGGUGUCCCUGCCAUCACCCACACACCACUUCUACAAAACCACCCGAAUUGGUGAGAACUGACUUGUUUUCCUACCUCCCAACCUUGAGACCCCUACUUCCUUCUUUCUCGGCCUUGAGGAGGUAGCAGAUAGUCUUAGAUCUUGCUUCUCUCCUAUUUGGUGAGUCUUAGAAGGAAAACAGUCGGCUUUUAUCUGCUUUUGGAACUAGAACAUCUGAUUUUUACCCAUCUGAUAUAAUACCGAACGUCCGUGCAUCGAGUGCCUACCAGGCCUCAGAUAUUGUAAAGGUACUUGACACACAGGAUUUCAUUUAGCCCUCACCUUAAUCCAGUGAGGCGGGCACUAUUGUUCCCAGGUUGCAGAGGAGUCUGAGGCAUGACCAAGGAUACAAAUCCAGGCCUGCUGCUUCAUGGCACCCUCUGUCCUAAAGGAGCUUACAGUUGGUUGUGAAAACGAGCCGCACCUAUAGAGCUGUAAGGUGAAACAAAGUACGGCAAUAUUUGUCAAAGCUUGAUCCCUUAGUUUUAGGUAAAAAAAUUGUUAUGAACCUCCAAUGUUGAUUUACUUUUAUAAGUGACUUAAAUAUGCCCAAAUCUAAAUCUCACGUAAACUCCUUAUACUGCUAAUAUUUUGAUGCCUCUCCUUAUAGACACACAUGUAUUGGGGGGCUUAUUUUAUAUUUGUAUUGUGAUUUUUUUUUUGUUUCUCACAUGUCAGCAUUUUCCUAUGUCAGUAACAAAGUUUUAAAAGUUGAUACGUUUUCAUUUGUGCACCAAUAUAGGGAUUGCACCAUAUAUUCAACCAUUCCCCUAUAGUUGGGCAUUUAGGUUUCUGAUUUGUGCCAUUAGAAAGCCCACUGUGAUGUGCCAUUUUUGCACGUGAACCUUUGGCUGUCUUUCUGAUUAUUUCCUUGGAGUUAAUACUCAGGAGUGAAAUUACCGGGUCAAAGGGCACAAACAUUUUUAAGGCUUUUAAACAUAUCUCCAGGAAGGUUGUACUAAUAUGUUUGCAUCUGCUAUCGAAGGAUCACUUUGAGGCCUAGGAGGUGUAAGAAGUAAGUGGCAUUUGAACAAGAACUUCAAGGGUGGGCACGGCUCCCACCAGUGCAGGUGGGUGGAGGCGUUUCGGGUGGGAGAUACCAUCACCAGAUUCAAGGGACAGAAUACAAGGCGCCUGGGGGAAGGGUGAACAUUCUGAUUUAGUUAGUGCUCUGUCAGCCAUUUUAUGUAUUGAGCACACUAGAAUGUUAAAAUUCUGAGAACAUAAAAUGCUCAAAAUAUGAAACAACUCGGCAAUGAUGUUAAGAUAGUCACCACUGUGGUAUAAUGUUGUCUAAAUGUGCAAAAGCAUCACCAUUAUUGUACCAUUUCUUGCUCCCCUUGGCUCUGUGUUCGAAUAGAACUAUCUGACGAUGUCACUGUGGUCUCAAAUAUUAUCAGGACAAUGUUCCAGAAGGCACGCUGUGUUUGGUGUUGGCAUGGAGCCACACUGGGUCGCUACUGUCAUUCAUCACCUGACCAUUCAGCCCUGUGCUCCCCUUGAUAGCCUUCCCACGGUGGUAUCAUGUUGUGGUUAAGAGAAGUGAAGAAGAAAAGAAACCAGACUGCCUGGGUUCCAAUUCCAGCUCUACCAUUGAUUGUUUGUGUGGCCUUAUGCAAAGUACUUAACCUUUGUGCCUCAAUUUCUUCAACUGUAAAAUGGAGUUGAUGUUAUCUACCUUUAUAGGAUUAUCUGGAGGAUUAAAUGAGUUAAUAAACAUAAAGCAUGUGAAACAAUGCUGUGCACAGAGUGAGGACUUCUUUUUUUAAUUAAAAAUAUAUUUUUUUAUGUUUUAUCUAUUUUUGAGAGCAAUAGAGACAGAGCAUGAGCAAGGGAGGAGCAGAGAGAGAGGGAGACACGGAAUCCGAAGCAGGCUCCAGGCUCCGAGCUGUCAGCACAGAGCCCGACGCGGGGCUCGAACUCACGAACCGUGAGACCAUGACAUGCCGAAGUCGGACACGUAACCGACUAAGCCACCGAGGCGCCCCCAGAGUGAGUACUUCUGAUAACUGUUAGCUUUUGUGAUUUAUUAUAUUAGCCUCAGUUUGGCCCACUGGCUAGGAUUUGGCAACACACAUAUAUAAAAGGUUUGCAGCCAAGUGGGAUGCUGUGGCCUUCCAUCUGCUGAGACCCAGAGGACUGGAAACUGCGUCCUUCCCAACUCAGCCCACAGCUACAAUAAACAGCUAUGUGUCAAAGGUGAAAUGUUUUUAUUUGAGUCCAUCACAGAGGUUGAAUAGAGUCUCAUGACAUUCAUCCGUAUAAAAUAUCGUAACAAUGGCUGCAGGCAUAAAUAAGAAUUACUCUAGCUAUGCUAAAUAUUUUAUAACUCAGAGUCCUUUUUGUUGAUUACAAAUAAGCAUAUGAAGUUAAGGUGCAGAAAUUUUUCCACUUUGAUUUCAGCAGUUUCUAAAAAUUGAAUUAUAAAAUUAAGGACACGUAAAAAUGAUGCUUUUUUAAAUGGAACCAGCCACCUUGAAAAAUAUCCUGAAAAACAUGGUUAAAAAUUUUUAAUACUUCACAAGAUAAGAAAA